ACAACCUUUAAAAGCAAGGAGUUGUGUUUCACUAUUCAUCCAAUAGUGGAACACCUAAAAUGCCCUUCAAUUUCUACCGAUUUAUCGUUUUUGCCCUCUUAACAUCUUGCUCCUCCACGUUGCUUCAGCCUUAGACCCUCUCUUUACGUUCAGCCUUUGACCUAGGUCUUUCGUCCUCUUCCUUUUGCUUGCUCGAGCUUCCCCUUUCUCUUUCCUCCUGCUUCUCUUCUUGGUAUAAUCUCAUCCCCAUCUCCUACUGAAAUUUUGUCGACCACACAAUUCACGAAUGAAGGGAGGUAAAUAUCGCAAAGAUUCUCUGCCUUUGAAUUGUAAGCUCUUCAGAUCUGAAAUUGUUAUCAUUUUCAAUUGUUUUAAAAGUUUCUUAUGCAGAAAGCUGAAACGGCAGCAAGUGAGACGAAUAGGGAAUCGGUUGUGGCGUUGAAUGCUGAGAUUCGUCGACUUAAAGGUUGAUUGCAGCGAUUGGCUCAAAAAAAGGGUUAUAUUCGGUUGUGGCGUUGAAUGCUGAGAUUCGUCGAAUUAAAGGUUGAUUGCAGCGAUUGCUGCAUAUUUGUACAAACUUGGAGAAGAUCUCGUAAGUCUAUGCUGGAAAGAAUGAUCAGUGGAAUGAUUGUUAAAAGAGCUUAGCUACUAAAGGAAAUUGAUGAUCAUGAAGCAAAGGUGGCAACCAUAUGUUCUGCAAUGGGAGAGAGACCGUUGCAUAUUCAGCAGCAAAGCAGUUUGCGGCUUUAUAGGGUGUGAUGUCGAUGAACUCCAUCAACUUUCGAUAGUAGAGUUCACAACUUCUUUUUUUUGUUCAGAUAUUGCAAGAGGUUUUUGCAGCCAACAACAUAAGAUGAUUUCGGGAUCAAUUCCAAACUUCCGUAAUGCUGAGGGACAAGAUGUGCUGCUCUUUAUUGACAACAUUUUCCGUUUUACCCAAGCUAACUCAGAGGUGUCUGCUUUACUUGGAUGUAUUCCCUCGGCUGUUGGUU